GGAAGAACACCAGUGGCGAAGGCGAUUCUCUGGACUGUAACUGACUCUGAGGCACGAAAGCGUGGGUAGCAAACAGGAUUAGAUACCCUGGUAGUCCACGCCGUAAACGAUGAGUACUAGGUGUAGGAGGUAUCGACCCCUUCUGUGCCGCAGUAAACACAUUAAGUACUCCGCCUGGGAAGUACGAUCGCAAGAUUAAAACUCAAAGGAAUUGACGGGGGCCCGCACAAGCAGCGGAGCAUGUGGUUUAAUUCGAAGCAACGCGAAGAACCUUACCUGGACUUGACAUCCCCUGAAUAACCUAGAGAUAGGCGAAGCCCUUCGGGGCAGGGAGACAGGUGGUGCAUGGUUGUCGUCAGCUCGUGUCGUGAGAUGUUAGGUUAAGUCCUGCAACGAGCGCAACCCUUAUUGUUAGUUGCUAACAUUCAGUUGAGCACUCUAACGAGACUGCCGCGGAUAACGCGGAGGAAGGUGGGGAUGACGUCAAAUCAUCAUGCCCCUUAUGUCCAGGGCAACACACGUGCUACAAUGGGCAGAACAAAGAGAAGCAAUACCGCGAGGUGGAGCCAAACUCAAAAACUGCUCUCAGUUCGGAUUGCAGGCUGAAACUCGCCUGCAUGAAGCUGGAGUUGCUAGUAAUCGCGAAUCAGCAUGUCGCGGUGAAUACGUUCCCGGGCCUUGUACACACCGCCCGUCACACCAUGAGAGCUGGCAACACCCGAAGUCCGUAGUCUAACGUAAGAGGACGCGGCCGAAGGUGGGG
rnacentral:rRNA from 1 species